GACAGAGGAUGCAAGCGUUAUCCGGAAUGAUUGGGCGUAAAGCGUCUGUAGGUGGCUUUUAAGUCCGCCGUCAAAUCCCAGGGCUCAACCCUGGACAGGCGGUGGAAACUACCAAGCUGGAGUACGGUAGGGGCAGAGGGAAUUUCCGGUGGAGCGGUGAAAUGCGUAGAGAUCGGAAGAACACCAACGGCGAAAAGCACUCUGCUGGCCGACACUGACACUGAGAGACGAAGCUAGGGAGCGAAUGGG
rnacentral:rRNA from 1 species